CACGUAGGGGGCAAGCGUUGUCCGGAUUUAUUGGGCGUAAAGAGCUCGUAGGCGGUUCGGUAAGUCGGGUGUGAAACCUCCAGGCUCAACCUGGAGACGCCACCCGAUACUGCUGUGACUAGAGUCCGGUAGGGGAGCGUGGAAUUCCUGGUGUAGCGGUGAAAUGCGCAGAUAUCAGGAGGAACACCGAUGGCGAAGGCAGGUCUCUGGGCCACUACUGACGCUGAGAAGCGAAAGCAUGGGGAGCGAACAGG
rnacentral:rRNA from 1 species